CAGGUCUGUGUGGGGUGAGGAGCCGCUUCUUGCUGAGUGUGGUGCAGAGCUUGGGUGUGCUGGGUCUUGGUGCCUCAGGAAGGGUGGAGGACCCAGGGGGAGCACCUGGUAAGGUGCAAGCCCUUGGGGCCAUACUCUCUGCCACCCCUCUGUCCUGGUUUCCCAGUGGUUGCCGGCCAGGCCACCGGACUGAAAGCUUUGUGGCUUCCUCCAAGGACUCACCUGUCAAGGGGAAUUAGUCAGAGAGGAGAGAGAAAUAAAGACUCGAUUUGAAUUCAAGUGUGCGCAGCCGGCGCCCAGGGCACAGUGCACAGGGCAUUUCCUCACACGACCCCGGCUGCCCCCUGUGGGCCAGAACCACCUCCGAGGGCCACUCAUGGGCUGCUGGGCAGAAGGCUGGCCGGCGGAUUCAGUCUCGGCCCAGUUCUGGGUCUGCCCUGUGGAGAGCUUACGGCUGAGCCGGGGAGAUAAGAUGGAAAUGUUUUGCCGAUGUGGAAGAAGCAAAACAAAACAAUGACAGAUGCCCUAAAAGGCAUCAACAUCGACAAGUUCGAAAACUGUUCUGAGCCGUGGGAAAAACGUCUCGACGGGUGUAUUGUAUCGAAUGGAAAGGACUUGGAAGGUGACUGAAGCUUAAACGGGCUUCCGCUGCUGGUUCCGUCAGCUCUCCUACAAGUUUCGGAGUGGACGUGGGCGUGUGCAACCACAGCACUGGACAGAGCUUGGGGCUCGGAGUGGAGAGGACCUGUGGGAACUCGGAGGGCGCUGCCCGGGCGCUGGCGGGGACUGGGACGCCCUUCUGCACCUGGGGCUGGAUCUUCAGCCCCACGCCGGUGAUUUGCAGGCCUGUCUUGGCUUGUGGAGGAACUAGAGCAGGUGGGUUUCCCAGCCGUCUUUUCCUUGGGAACCAGGACGGGAAUGCAGCCUCGGGACCUGAGAAGGAACGGAGGGCCAGGACCGCCAGGCCUCGGCCCACGCGGUGAACACCUGGUGCCAGACAGUG